UUUAAAAAAAUAUAUAUAUACCAUUUUAGGAUUUAUUUUUCAUUUCAUUUCAAGGAUUUUCUCUCUCUUACUGAUUUCAGGGUUUCUGCAUUCUCUCUCCUUGAAACUCCUCGAUGCCUCCGUCACCAACAACUCUUCGGUGCCGUCGUCACCAUCAACUCCUUGCCGUCGUCGUCGCAAGAAGCCAGCAAACACUAUUUGGUAGUGAGAGAGGAAAGAGAAGGUUUUGCUGCCAUAAAUAGAUCUAGUUCGCCGAGUUUGGACGUGGUGGUGGCGUGUUUGGUUCUCAUCCAUCUCGACGGCGGCAGAAGAGGAGAUACCGAGGAGGCUUUUGCUUGUUGAUUUAGGUUUGUAUUUAAUUGUUUGGCGUAUUUCAAGUGAUGGUUCGGUAGCUCACGAGUUCUCUAUCUAUCUUCGUCGGCGGAAGCGUCUCCGGUAACUUCUCCGGCCACGAAAUCCGAUGAACUGAUUUCAAGAGAUGGUCCGCUUCAUCCACCGGAUGUCUUCCUUCAAAACAGGUUCUUAUGCGAUUAACCACCUCGCAAUCUGCCUCGAUCACUCGGUGCGACCAGACCUAGUUGGGGUGGAGGUCGUUGGUUCCUCUUCGCAAUGCUAAGACAUGGUUGGUUGAGCAACAGUGUAGUGAGCAUGCUUUGGGGCUGGUGGUGGUGGUUGCGACGCGAAGGAACAACCUGAUUCCAGAAUCCAUAUCUUGAUUAUGUUGAACAAAUAUGAUUAAAUAGGUUAUUGGUUAAGAAAAUUUUAGUUUUAGUUAAACUUUGUAAUAUGUAUCGUUUUUGUUACAUUUUUUGUAUUGAAGUAAAUUUUUCGUUUAGUCAAGAAUAAUUAUAUUUUAGUUAAGAAUAACUCUAUUUAAGUUAAAAAUAAUUUGGUUUUAGUUAAGAAAAAAUUUGUUCUAGUUAAGCUUAAAGUUGUUUUAGUUGAGAAUAAUGAUGUUUUAGUCAAGAAUAUUUUCAUUUUAGUUAACGUUAA